ensembl:lncRNA
UGACUUUUUAGCUUUUAAUUACUUUUAGUGUCGUAUUUAAAUGAUUUUCCUGCCUUUUAACAGGCUGUUCUGCUCCUGAAAUAAAUGGGGGAUGUGGGUGGGGAAUUAAUUGUAAAGAAAAUAGAAUUAUGUGGGUACGUGGCUGGUGACAGGUAAAGGGCAGAUUUAUCGAGGUUGAAUCCUAGCUUUUCUGCCUCCGAGCCCAGUAACCUCCAAGACGCUAAGCCUACCCGGAAAAUGGGGUUAAUAGCGGUACCUACCUCACAGGGCUGCUGCCAUAACUCACGUGAGGUUCCCAGCACAUUAUUGGGCAUCUGAUGAAUGCUCAGUUAGUAGUUUUAAUAUUAUUAACAACACUGUUUUAUUAUUUAUAAGAAAAAUGAGUCUACUAGAAAAAUCAAUCUCCUCAUUUCAUGGCUUUCCUCUGUUUUUGACUCAAACUGUUACUUUCUUGGUUGCGCAUCAGAACCAGUGCGCUAGGGGACCCCUGGUGGCUCAGGGCGUGACCCCGGGGUCCUGGGAUUGAGUCCCGCGUCGGGCUCCCCGCAGGGAGCCUGCUUCUCCCUCUGCCUCUGUGUCUCUCAUGGAUAAAUAAAAUCUUAAAAAAAAAGAAAAGAACGAGUGGGUUAGUUUUUAAAUGACUCUUUGCUGUUUUCACAAAUUCAGAAAUGCAUACAAGUCUGCAAAACUUGUGCCUACGCUAGGAAUGUUCUGUUGAGCGUGAGGCCGGCCCCUCCCAGUUCCUCUGCCAUUGGGAGCUCGGCUCCGUGGGUGCCGGGUCCCCCCAAGGGUCUUCCGAGAGGGGGUAACAGGGUUUUGAAAAUGCGAGGUGGUGUUCGUUAAAGCAAGCUCCAGCCUAUGAGGGCUGCGAUGGGGACCGUGGCCCCUUCCCCGCCGCAGGAUGUCCUGUGCGCUGCGACCGCGAGCGUCCUGGGUGGGGCGAGGGGGCCCGAGGCCGGGCUGCGGGCGCGCGGGUUCCCCGACGGCCCCGGGGUUCUUGUGGGCAAAGUCGGGCCGGGCGCGGGUCGGAGGGGACCAGGCCGCUGCCCUGCAGGUGGAGGCCCCGCCGCCAGCGCCCCCCCGACUCGGCCGCAGGAUCGUUCCGGAGAGGAAAGCGGGUCCCGGCCCAGCGUUGGGAGACGCGUGUGCCCCGCGCCCCGGAGGUGCAGGUGACUGGCUGCAGAGAAAGGCCUCGUCCUGGUGCCUCGUCCAUGCUACUCCAUGGCACCUCAGAGGUAGAAGAUGAGCUCAGGGAAUCUGCCUAACCCGGACCCUGGUCCCAUUGGUGCCGACUGAGAAGCACUGAACUGGAAGGUCGCCGUCCCAUGCUGCACUGUCAUGUCUUCCUGCCCAAUGUAGCUGAGCUCACUGCCAUCCAGAACGGCCCUGGCUGUGUAGAAGGUGUCCUGCUCUACCUGCACAGGGUGUUCAAACCAGACCACGAGGGGGUUGCUGGAACCAUCUGAGACAAAUGUGGUGAAAUGACUCCCUUUGCAACUGGUGAUCCUCUCUGCUCAAAAAAGAAAGAAUAUUUACUAUGUCUGUUAUUAAUGCAGCCACUCUAACUUUUUAAAAUCCAUGCUAGGGUAGUAUAUUUUCACCGAUCCUUUAACUUUUAACCUAGCUGUGUCUUUACAUUUGACACUUGUGUUUUUUUAAUCCAGUCUAACAAUAGCUAUUUUUUUUAAUUGGGUUAUUUAGACCAUUUAUGUUUAAUGUGCUUAUUGCUACAGUUGGGUUUAAAUUUACCAUCUUGUUUUUGGUUUCUAUUUUCUCCUCUGUUCUUCAUUCUCCUCUAUUGUCUUUAUUUGCCUCCAUUUGGGUUGAAUAUUUUUAAUGAAUCCAUUUUAACUUUCUCGUGGACUCAUUAACUUAAUAACUUUGAAUUAUUUUAGUGAUUUUAGUUGCCUUAGGGUUUAUAGUGAUAAGCUAGAGGUGUCACACUGCCCAUAUUGGAUGCCGGACUUUAUUUAGUGUAUAAAAACUUCUCAACAAUGUCCUUACAUUUCUCCCAUCCUGGACUUUGUGCUGUUUAUAUCUUACAUUUUAUUUCUACAUAUGUAAUAACCUAACAAUACAUUGCUACCAUUUUUGCUUUAAAUAGCCAAUUAUCUUAUAAAUAGAUUUAGAAAUAAGAAAAAAAGAUCUUUUAUGCUAACUCUUAUGAAACUGGUGCUCCUGUUUCCUUUGUGUAGAUCCAUGUGGUAUCAUUAUCCUUCUGCCUGAAGGACUGCUGGUGAUAAAUG